rnacentral:rRNA from 1 species
UACGUAGGGUGCGAGCGUUGUCCGGAAUUACUGGGCGUAAAGGGCGCGUAGGCGGCCUUCUAAGUCGAACGUGAAAUCCCCGGGCUCAACCCGGGAACUGCGUCCGAUACUGGAAGGCUUGAAUCCGGGAGAGGGAUGCGGAAUUCCAGGUGUAGCGGUGAAAUGCGUAGAUAUCUGGAGGAACACCGGUGGCGAAGGCGGCAUCCUGGACCGGUAUUGACGCUGAGGAGCGAAAGCGUGGGGAGCGAACAGG